CGUGCUGUGUCUUUGCGGGGCCGUGUCUGAUUGCAGCCGACACGAGUGUCGCGUGACUGAGGCUUUUGCUGAGCAUGUUUGGUCCUGCAUGGCCAGGCUUAAUGUCUUGAAGUCCACACAAAUGACUGCUCUAUUUAUGCAGCAGCCGAUGAGAAUGUAACCAGCAGCGCAUGUUAACACGGGGUCAUGCAAAAGGGAACCACGAUACCAAA